rnacentral:rRNA from 1 species
AGAGUUUGAUCCUGGCUCAGAGUGAACGCUGGCGGUGUGCUUAACACAUGCAAGUCGAACGAGAACGGUCCUUCGGGAUGUCAGCUAAGUGGCGGACGGGUGAGUAAUGUAUAGUUAAUUUGCCUCUUGGAGGGGAAUAACAGUUAGAAAUGACUGCUAAUACCCCAUACUCCUUCUACCUUAAUGGUAGUUGGGAAAUGUUUUUUCGCCAAGAGAUAAGACUAUAUGGUAUCAGGUAGUUGGUAGGGUAAGAGCCUACCAAGCCUAUGACGCCUAGCUGGUCUGAGAGGAUGAUCAGCCACACUGGAACUGAGACACGGUCCAGACUCCUACGGGAGGCAGCAGUGGGGAAUAUUGCACAAUGGAGGAAACUCUGAUGCAGCAACACCGCGUGGAGGAUGACACAUUUCGGUGCGUAAACUCCUUUUAUAUGGGAAGAUAAUGACGGUACCAUAUGAAUAAGCACCGCUAACU